rnacentral:rRNA from 1 species
UACGGGGGGGGCAAGCGUUGUUCGGAAUUACUGGGCGUAAAGGGCUCGUAGGCGGCCAACUAAGUCGGACGUGAAAUCCCCAGGCUCAACCUGGGAACUGCGUCCGAUACUGGGUAUCUCGAGUAUGGAAGAGGUGAGUGGAAUUCCGAGUGUAGAGGCGAAAUUCGUAGAUAUUGGGAAGAACACCGAUGGCGAAGGCAGCCAUCUGGACCGACACUGACGUUGAGGCGCGAAAGCGUGGGGAGCAAACAGG